GUCAGCUUGUGCUGCAAGAGGAUGGUAUUGCAGUAUGAAUGAAGGUCAGCAUAGGAGCAGCUGCUGAUGGGAGGAAGGAAGUCCAGGCUAAUGAACUCUAAAGCAUCUCCCAGUUAGGUACCAGAGGAGGCAGGAAUGAUGAUGUAGAAGGAUAUGAGAAGCUCCCCAGCUUGAAGCCACAAAACCUGCAGAAACCUGCAGGAGAGCCGGAGCACGUGUCAAUGCCCAGGAGGAAAUCCAGCCUCAGUGUUUGAGCAGCACCUGGCCGUGGAGCACUGCGGCCCAAGAACAGAAUUAUUCUGCCUUUGCCAAGCUGGCAUCCCAAGAAGGACUUGUCUGUCCUUGUAAAAACCAGAGGGCUGGCUCAUCCAAAUGCUUGCUGAUUGCUUGGGAGCUCAAAUCUUUCUGGCCUCCAAGCUGGAGGCAGCCUGGAGGCAACAUCUCCUUGGUCUGAUUGUGCAGUGUCUGAGCGAGAGGGUGACCCAACCUGGCUGCACAAGAGUCAUCUUCAUUUCUGUUAUUUUGCUUCAAACAAGCCCCCUGGGUGACCCUGGUGUUGGUUUCCUAAAAUUUGCAUCUGGGAGGCGUCCAUUUCCUUUGCUUGUGAUGAAAGCACAGAAGUGAUGGGGGCACUCGCCAAGGUCACAAUCAUUGCCAGGGUGGGAGUGUUUGUCCCACAGCUGGUGAGCAAAGCUGGUGCUCUGGAGAGCGUGCUGCACACACAGACCGAGCUCUGGGCCUUCCUUGGAAGAGAUCACCCCGUGAGAGCCCGUCAGAAGCACCGCUGUGGUGUGUACAUGACCUGGACGCAGCUUAGACUGACCAGGCUGAACAGGGUUUCUUUCCAAAAGGAGAUUUUGGGAAUCAAGGCAGUCCAAGAAAGAGGGAAGCCAGCUCUUUCCAAGAGUGGGGAAGUCCCUGUGGAGAGAACCCCAAGAACUUGAGCUUCCUCUGAGACAUUCCCCACCAUGUCUCAGCAAGGAGACAACCGCUAUUCUGACUUCUGCUCUCCAUGUGGGAAGAAGAAGCGCAGUGCGAUUCCCUGCAUUUGGGAACAGCAGCCAGCAGGCUGUCAGAAUGCCAGCUGCGCCUUUCAGCGUGCAAAGGGACGCGAUGGGGAUGGACCAUCUUUACCGCCACGCAAAAGGAUGGAGUCUGCAUGUCUGUGGAACGGUGCUGGGCAAGGGGGAAAACGGAAAGCCUCUGCAGAAACUGAUGCAAGUGGCCUUCCAGAGAGGUGCAGCCUUGCAGAAAGGCAGGGGAGGAGCACGGAGUGUGCCGUAGCUCCAAAGAGAGAGAGAGGUGCUGAACCAAAUGGCAAAAUCUAUGUGAAAACGGUGGAAGAAGUCUGUUCUGGGGGAGCUCGUCUCCAGGUUGGAGGGCUUCCUGGAAGAGCAGGUCCCAGCUCAGGGAGAAGACCUUCCCCUGCAGUCGACAUCUACUCUUUCUCCAAGACUCUGGCUGGAAGGAAGCGCAAGGGCUUGGAAAAAGAGGAACAAAAAGCAGAGCUGUUGCCUGCCAAGAAACAAGUAAAGGGGGGGCGCAGUGGGGAGAAGGCUCAGAGGGUGCAUCAGAGCAGAGGCGGUGUGCCAGCUCCACCAGCGCACCCUGGGCCUGCCCGAACGCCAAGUAAGCAGUUACAGACCUCAAAGCUAAGAGCAAGAAGAAGACGACAACAAAAAGAGAGGAGAGCAGAAAUGAAGAAGGCUUCUCUCAGAGCUGCUGCUGCAUGUGCAGAGUCCUCCACAGUGAACAGCCUUGUGGAGAUGAUGCAGAAGCUGCAGCUGAAAGACUGAGUGGAGGAGCAGCAGAAGGCAGUGGCUGCUGUGCACAGCACUACAGUGCUCUGAGUGCCGCCCAACUCGGCACUCUAAGUCUGGUUGCAUUCAAUAAAUGAUCACAAUUACGGACUCA
ensembl:lncRNA zinc finger CCCH domain-containing protein 11A-like